UACGUAGGGGGCGAGCGUUGUCCGGAAUUAUUGGGCGUAAAGAGCUCGUAGGCGGCUUGGCAAGUCGGAUGUGAAAACUCCAGGCUCAACCUGGAGCCGCCAUUCGAUACUGCUAUGGCUAGAGUCCGGUAGGGGAGUGUGGAAUUCCCGGUGUAGCGGUGAAAUGCGCAGAUAUCGGGAGGAACACCGAUGGCGAAGGCAGCACUCUGGGCCGGCACUGGCGCUGAGGAGCGAAAGCGUGGGGAGCGAACAGG
rnacentral:rRNA from 1 species